CUCCUCUCAGGGUCGCACCCGGAGAGUUUCCAGGAUUCAGCCAGUCUCGGCUAUGGGAGGGAGAGUGUCGCAGAGGCCUAUCCAUUCCAUUCCUAGCUCGGGCAGUGGCUAGCGAGUGGAAGGCAAUCAGCUACAAGU